rnacentral:rRNA from 1 species
GACAGAGGGUGCAAACGUUGCUCGGAAUCAUUGGGCGUAAAGCGCACGUAGGCGGCCUCGCAAGUCUGAUGUGAAAUCCCUCGGCUCAACCGAGGACGUGCAUCGGAAACUGCGGGGCUUGAGUACUGAAGAGGAUCGCGGAAUUCCCGGUGUAGAGGUGAAAUUCGUAGAUAUCGGGAGGAACACCAGUGGCGAAGGCGGCUCACUGGCCCGGUACUGACGCUGAGGUGCGAAAGCGUGGGGAGCAAACAGG